rnacentral:rRNA from 1 species
AGAUUGAACGCUGGCGGCAUGCCUAACACAUGCAAGUCGAACGGGAGUAGCAAUACUCUAGUGGCGGACGGGUGAGGAAUACGUAGGAAUUUGCCCUUAAGUGGGGGGAUAAACCCGGGGAAACCCGGAUUAAAUACCGCAUGACCUCGAAAGAGCAAAGUGGGGGAUCGCAAGACCUCACGCUUUGGAGAAGCCUACGUCGGAUUAGCUAGUUGGUGAGGUAAUGGCUCACCAAGGCGACGAUCCGUAACUGGUCUAGAGAGGAUGAUCAGUCACACGGAACUGAGACACGGUCCGGACUCCGUACGGGAGGCAGCAGGUGGGGAAUAGUUGGAACAAUGGGCGACAAGCCUGAUCAGCAA